CAGUCCCCCGGGGGGAGGGAGCCCCAACGUCCGCGGCGCCAGCUGCAGCCGCCUCGCUCCCCGAGGAGCCUCCCCGUCUCCUCUCCCGAGUCCGCGAAGCAGCAGCCUCCGGGGCUCACCUUCGCGCCGGAGGGGUGCACGGAGUCGCGGGGAGAAGGCGCCGCUGCACAGAAAGGAAGCACGGCGGGGGCUAGCGAGGACCCCCCACCCCGCGGCCAGCCGGGGAACCCCGCCGCUGCACCGCGCCAGCCCGGGAAUCCCCCCCGCCCCCCGCCUCGGACCCGCAGCCCCUGCCCAAGCCGCGGAGAGCGGAGAGCGGGGGGCGGGGGGCGGGGGCAGCCCGUCGUGCGCCCGUCCGCCUCCCACCCCGGGCGAGGGGCGCUGCGCGCGGGGCGGCGGGCAGAGGCGCAGCCGGCACCGCAGCCCAGCCGCUUUGUGCCGAGCUGUCACCCGAAAGCCGCCGCCGCCCCCGCGCCCGCCCCCGCAGCCGCGUGCGCCGCACCUGGGAGCGCGGGCGGGACGCUGCGCGCCGCCCCGGGCCGCCGGCGCCUCCGGGCAGCCGCGCGCCGCGCGCACAGGACAGCAGGAUCCGCGCCGCGAGCCGCAGCCCCCGCUCGGCCGCCGCCGCCGCCGCCGCCGCCGCCGCUUCCGCCCCUGUCACGGCGUGACCCGGGGUGGGAGGAGCCGGCGAGCCCGGGGAGGGGUAGGGUCCCCGCCUUCGCCUCCGCCGCGGCGCUCGCCCCGCCCUGGCCAUUUCCGCCGCUGCGCCAGCCGGGGCGCCGGGGGCGGGGGCGGGGCCUGUGCGCCGGGGGCGGGGCCGGGGGCGGGGCCUGUGCGCGGGGGGCGGGGCCUGUGCGCGGGGGCGGGGCCGGAGACGGCGGCGGCGGCCUGCAAGCUGCGAGCUGCAGGCUGCAGGCUGCGGGCCGCGCACGAGGUAGGCUGCCCCGGGCGCGCGGAGGGUGCGGGACACACCGCGCCGCUUGCUGCGAUCCGAGUCCCGGCUGGGGCAUCCUCACGAGCGUGGGCAGCCCGGCCAUCCGCGCCCUGAAACGCGGUUCGGGAAGCCGCGUGGGGGACCUGGGAAUCACGAGGUCGGGCAAUGAAUGA
rnacentral:lncRNA from 1 species